AACGAACGCUGGCGGCAUGCCUAACACAUGCAAGUCGAACGAGACCUUCGGGUCUAGUGGCGCACGGGUGCGUAACGCGUGGGAAUCUGCCCUUGGGUUCGGAAUAACUGUUGGAAACGACUGCUAAUACCGGAUGAUGACGUAAGUCCAAAGAUUUAUCGCCCAGGGAUGAGCCCGCGUAGGAUUAGCUAGUUGGUAGGGUAAAGGCCUACCAAGGCGACGAUCCUUAGCUGGUCUGAGAGGAUGAUCAGCCACACUGGGACUGAGACACGGCCCAGACUCCUACGGGAAGCAGCAGUGGGGAAUAUUGGACAAUGGGCGAAAGCCUGAUCCAGCAAUGCCGCGUGAGUUAUGAAGGCCUUAGGGUUGUAAAGCUCUUUUACCCGGGAUGAUAAUGACAGUACCGGGAGAAUAAGCCCCGGCUAACUCCGUG
rnacentral:rRNA from 1 species